rnacentral:rRNA from 1 species
UACGUAGGGGGCGAGCGUUGUCCGGAGUUACUGGGCGUAAAGCGCACGCAGGCGGUCGUGUCAGUUUGGGGUUACAGCUCCCGGCUCAACCGGGAGAGCGCCUCGAAGACGGCAGGACUUGAGGGCCAAAGAGGGACACAGAAUUCCGGGUGUAGUGGUGAAAUGCGUAGAUAUCCGGAGGAAUACCAAAGGCGAAGGCAGUGUCCUGGUUGGUACCUGACGCUCAGGUGCGAAAGCUAGGGGAGCGAACGGG